rfam:Schistosoma haematobium scaffold583_12, whole genome shotgun sequence.
AUCUAGCUGACGAGUCCUAAAUAGGACGAAACGCGCUUGCUAGAU